ACCCUUCGGCGACCGGAGAAGCUACAACAGUGGAGGCGAGCUCCUUGUUGAGCCCCCUGCGAGCUGACUUUUUAAUAAAGAGCUGAACAUUAAUAAAGGGAUAGACCCUGUUCAUUUCAGUUAUUUAGUUACCGUCGAUGGAGAGAUGUCCUACAGGGCUCAUCACAAUAACCCAUGAAUUUUCCCACUUCUUGGCCAAAUGAACUUUCUGGGGUAACUUUGGUAUCUCCCACGAAGAUCCCUCAUCUGCCUCAUGACCACCAUGAUGGAUGGAGAUUGAAACUCCCUCCCAAGGACUGAGACCCCUUAUAAUGCUAACACAACGGCGCUGGCCUGACUGAAACAGGAUGUUUGCCUAGUGUUGCCUGCAGGUGAAUUUGCUGGACCAAGGAAAUAAUGGGUCCUGCUCAAUGUUGAAAUUGACUUGCCCUGCUUCGGAACAUGGACUGUCUGUACCCGUUUUUCAAUACUUGUUCCCCACCUCAGCGGAGGACUAUAAAAGACCCCUAAGCUAACCAAGCUUUUGAGACUCUCCCCGAUGGACACAGCGGAUCUAUUGGCUGAACCGUGAGGAUUUCAUCUCUCCAUUGGUAGCUACAUUGCCCUUCCCCUCUUUCUCUCCCUCUCUCAAUCCUCCAUCUCCUUUCUAAUCCUUCUAUUGCAUUUGCUCUGGCCACUCAAUUAAAAGUGCAUUUGUUGCGAUUACACUAAUAGUCCCCUGCUGUUUGUCUUUUGCACUUUUGGGAUUGGUAAACGAACCAUCGUGACCCUGCUUGUCCUAGUGGAUUGUGACACCCUCACCUCUGGGACCUAUCCCUGAUGGAACCCUCUCUCCUCCCCUUAUCCUGAUUUGUGGUAUCCCUAAAAACCACACCCUAAGAGUUACUCAUUGCUUGUCCCGUUGUGUCCACUCUCUGUUUUGCAAAGCUUUAAAAACCCAUGCACACCUGUGCUGGGGCUCUGCUUGCCUGUGUUCCCUUCAGCUCUCCUCUCCCGUGUACCCUUUCCUCACCUCACCCAAUAAACCUGCUGGACUUUACAUGGCAA